CGCGGCGACCGGCGCGACGGUGAGUAACACGUAUGGAACCUGCCCGCAGCAGGGGGAUAAGCGGAAGAAAUUCCGUCUAAUACCGCGUAACAACGUUGGGAGGCAUCUCCCGAUGUUUAAAGAUUUAUCGGCUGCGGAUGGCCAUGCGGCGCAUUAGCUAGUCGGCGGGGUAACGGCCCACCGAGGCGACGAUGCGUAGGGGUUCUGAGAGGAAGGUCCCCCACACUGGUACUGAGACACGGACCAGACUCCUACGGAAGGCAGCAG
rnacentral:rRNA from 1 species